rnacentral:lncRNA from 1 species
GCUGGACAUAGCCAUCAGUUGAGGAGUGUUCUGAUGGUUGUUGGUGCGUUCACGCACUACAGAGCUGGGCUUUGUGUAUCUUAAGUGGAGAGAUAUUGAAAGAUGUUGAAGAUGAAGAUUGAAGUUGAAGGAAGAUUAGAUGGAAUCUCUCAUGUUUUAAAUCUUGAUUGUAGCUUCAUAUAAAAGUUGGAUUAUGUAAAGUCUAUGUGUAAUCAAUUGUUCAAUUUUUUUUUCUUUAUUCAACAAAAGAAUUCAUAUAUUGUUAUUACAGAAGCUGACAGAAGAAUGUUCUUACAAGUUGGGAUGUCUAGAAGACUGGAACCAACAAGGAUGUCUCUUGCUAGUUAAUUUAUAUGACAAAAGGCUGAAACAUGAACUACUUUUUAAGAUGAUUCCAGUCUUGAUUGCACCAUUAAACGUAUCAUAAUCCAGCGUCAUACUCACAUAAGCCUUCUUGUGAACCUCACGCAAGCCUUACUGGUUCCAGUCUGAUCAAAGUAUUAAAGUUUCUUGGUCUAGAUCCUUGCACUUGAAAGUUCAUCUCCUAAAGUCAAGAAACAUUAACAUAGGAAACUAGCAGAAUGAGGACAAACUUGUACCAAUUUUCACAUGUUUAGAAAAUAUUCAACUCACUUUGUUUGAUUUCUUCAGCUGCCAUUCUUUGAAUCAAGUUUUCAGUUAUCAGCUCCAACCUGUAAAAAUGGUUGCAGAACAAAAUGAAGAGUAAAAUUUUUAGUAUCUCAAAAUCCAGAUUCUAGUUUUUUUUCAAUUGUAUCUAAAAACACACACA